rnacentral:tRNA from 1 species
GCGGGCGUAGUUCAAUGGUAGAACACCAGCCUUCCAAGCUGGUCACGUGGGUUCGAUUCCCAUCACCCGCUCCA